CUGGGUGAAGCCCAGGCUUAAGCCAUCAAACCAUCUACGGGACCAAGGAGACCUCCACCUACUAAACACCAGGACCAGGUUGGAGGGCUCCCUCUCCACCAUCCCGGAACUAUUGGAUGAAGUAGAGUUUCCACCACUACCAGUCAGCAGUGUUGCUGAUCCCCGAAUUGGCACAAUGGAACAGCGAGGAGCCCCGGUAACCACAACGGGAGGGUCACCAAACAUGAUGAGCGGGCA